CGCGAUAUGAAACCGGAACCACUGCAGGUAUUUUUUUUUACGCCUAAUGUGAAAAAGGUCUAUGAAUGAAUUAUAGUGAGGAUUUGCGGUCAUGGAAACCCAGAACUUACCUUACGAAAGAAGAAUUGUACUCCGCAUGUUCCAUACUCUUUGAUUUCCUUAUAAAGUACGUGUGUAAACUUCCCCAGAAUAAACAGAUGACAUAACAUCACUGGUAUCUCAGAUGCUAGAGUAAUAGCAUAUCCAUAGCCCUAACGAUUGAAAUACACAUGGAGUCAAGAACUAAAGCCUGGUUUGCACUUGGGCGUAUAACUAGUAACGAGUCCAUAAUCACGUUCAAAAUGUUUGUCAGCGGUCGUCAAUCAACCUUCACUGGAAAAUUUUCCGCAGAAGGAACAUUUUGUAAGAUGUGAUUGGCCGACACAAAUUUUCCGUCGAAAAAAAAAUUUGAAGUUGAAAAUUUUCAACUUUUAUAACAAUGACAUUUUCGGAAAAUUUUCUGUCCGUGGAAAUUUAAGUGGGCCUCAAGUCGUACAUGACUGGUGCGCCAAUUAUUAUUGUCGUGUACUUGUGCCAGUAAAAACUCAACACUCAAUGUGUACUUAGUCUUUAUGUGCAUAAAGUGAUAAAUUAGAGGUUUCUGAAAAGUGUAUCGAAAACAAUCGACUCCAACGUUUCUUAGUGCCACCCGUUCAAUUAUGUUUGAUGCCAAGACAUGUCAGUAUG